rnacentral:rRNA from 1 species
AUUGAACGCUGGCGGCAUGCCUAACACAUGCAAGUCGAACGGGGCAGCAAUGCCUAGUGGCGGACGGGUGAGGAAUACGUAGGAAUCUGCCCUUAAGUGGGGGAUAACCAGGGGAAACCCUGACUAAUACCGCAUGAUCUCUUCGGAGCAAAGAGGGGGACCGCAAGGCCUCUCGCUUCUGGAUGAGCCUACGUCUGAUUAGCUAGUUGGUAGGGUAAAGGCCUACCAAGGCGACGAUCAGUAACUGGUCUGAGAGGAUGAUCAGUCACACCGGAACUGAGACAAGGUCCGGACUCCUACGGGAGGCAGCAGUGGGGAAUAUUGGACAAUGGGCGCAAGCCUGAUCCAGCGAUGCCGCGUGUGUGAAGAAGGCCUUCGGGUUGUAAAGCACUUUAGCCUGGAAAGAAAAAACUUUGGUUAACACCCAAAGUCUUGACGGUACCAGGAGAAUAAGCACCGGCUAACUCUGUGCCAGCCGCCGCUGUAACAC